CCCCCCCCCCAAGUGCCGGCGCGGCCCGGAGACUCCGCCGCUCCAAGUUCGCCCGCGGUCGCACGAGCUUGAACGCAUCCCGCAACUGGCGGACACCGAGAUGGUCUCAGUGAAGGAGUUUGGGUGUUUCUCAUGAAGUGCCAUUGAUCCCUAUGAGAAAUAUGUUUGUAGUGCUCCAUGCCUGCUCGGAGAGUCCAAGAACUGCUAAAAACUGAUGGGGGCACGGGUUCGAGCCCUGGUCUGGGAAGAUCCCACAUCCCGUGGAGCAACUAAGCCCGUGCGCCACAACUGAGGCUGCGCUCCAGAGCCCGGAAGCCACAACUACUGAGCCUGCAUGCCACAACUACUGAAGCCUGCGCGCCUGGAGCCCGUGCUCCCCAACAAGAGAAGCCACCGCAAUGAGAAGCCCGCGCACCGCAACGAAGACCCAACGCAGCCAAAAAUAAAUACGUUUAUUAAAAAACCCAACAAUAUAUUGU